GCGGCGUGCCUCAGACAUGCAAGUCGAACGCGAAAGUCCCCUUCGGGGGAUAAGUAGAGUGGCGCACGGGUGAGUAACACGUAGGUAAUCUACCUUCGGGUGGGGAAUAACCCAGGGAAACUUGGGCUAACACCGCAUAAUGCAGCGGCACCACAUGGUGACAGUUGUUAAAGCGGGGGAUCUUAGGACCUCGCGCCUGAAGAGGAGCCUGCGGCGGAUUAGCUAGUUGGUGAGGUAACGGCUCACCAAGGUGACGAUCCGUAGCCGGCCUGAGAGGGCGGUCGGCCACACUGACACUGACAUACGGGUCAGACUCCUACGGGAGGCAGCAGUCGGGAAUUUUGGGCAAUGGGCGAAAGCCUGACCCAGCAACGCCGCGUGAAGGAUGAAAUCCCUCGGGAUGUAAACUUCGCAAGAAUGGGAAGAAUUAGUAGGGGUCAAUACCCCCUAUGAUGACGGUACCAUUUGUAAGCUCCGGCUAACUCCGUGCCAGCAGCCGCGGUAAUACGGGGGGAGCAAGCGUUGUUCGGAUUUACUGGGCGUAAAGGGCGCGU
rnacentral:rRNA from 1 species